rnacentral:rRNA from 1 species
UACGUAGGGGGCAAGCGUUGUCCGGAUUUAUUGGGCGUAAAGAGCGUGUAGGCGGCUAGGUAGGUGGGUUGUGAAAACUGGAGGCUCAACCUUCAGACGUCGACCCAAACCCCCUGGCUAGAGUCCGGAAGAGGAGAGUGGAAUUCCUGGUGUAGCGGUGAAAUGCGUUGAUAUCGAUAGGAACUCCGGUGGCGAAGGCGGCAUACUGGACCACUUCUGACGCUGAGGCGCGAAAGCCAGGGGAGCAAACGGG